rnacentral:rRNA from 1 species
GACGAACGCUGGCGGCGUGCUUAACACAUGCAAGUCGAACGAAGUGGCGAACGGGUGAGUAACGCGUAAUCAACCUGCCCUUCAGAGGGGGACAACAGUUGGAAACGACUGCUAAUACCCCAUACUGAAGGGGGGGAUUGCGUGUGAUUAGCUAGUUGGAGGGGUAACGGCCCACCAAGGCGAUGAUCAGUAGCUGGUCUGAGAGGAUGAACGGCCAAAUGGGGACUGAGAAACGGCCCAGACUCCUACGGGAGGCAGCAGUGGGGAAGCUUCCGCAAUGGACGAAAGUCUGACCGAGCAACGCCGCGUGAGUGAAGAAGGUGUUCGGAUCGUAAAACUCUGUUGUUAGAGAAGCGGUAUCUAACCAGAAAGCCACGGCUAACUACGUGCCAGCAGCCGCGGUAAUAC